UCAAUUUGGUGACCCUGAUCAACAUUGACAAAAACAGCCAUUAAAUCUAACAUGUUUUUGAACUACCCACAUUUACCAUUGUUAAACAAAUUAAGAAAAAGUACCCUUAAUAUGAUUUUAGUAGCUUUGCCAUUAUAUUAUAAAAGAACUAAUCCAAAGUACCACCAGCUCAACUUUUAAAUGACACACCUAUGUGAUCACAAAAAUAAUAACCCCCAAAGUACCCUAAAUACAUGUUUCUAAAUUAUUAAUCACCUUUGUGAUUACAAAAAAGCAUACAUGGAACUUAAAUAUCUCUUCGAAAAUACGCAUAUCUGUCUGCCAAGAAAAACAAGCCACACCUAUCUAAAAUUUUUAUUUAGAUCUCUUUGUAAAUAAUGCGGUGAACUCCAGAUAUUAAACUAAAAAUACACCAUGGAUGAUCACACAUAUGUAAUGAAUAUUCUGAAGGUGAGGGAAAACAAGAAAAAUAACACGUACUAUGUAGUAAGACUCUAAUUCAAUGCAUGAUGAAUUUAUUGUACAAAGAGAUGUUUAAUAUACAUUCAUCAGUCAGUAAUAAAUCAUAUUCACAUAGGCAUAAGAAAUUAGCAAACUACUCAAAUAUACAAACCAUAGUAAAAUUUUAGACCGUGAGGCCAACCAAUAAUCUCACUUCUGAUAAAAGAGCUGCUAUUUCCCCAUCUAAAUCACAUACUCUACCAUUACCACAAAAUUAUACCAAAGUAACACUAUCUUAUAGCUUCGUUUCAUAUAUAUCAUCUACACACUUAUUUAGGUCUCUCAAUUAUGUGGUGAAACCUGGAGGCUGAACCUAAAAAUAAAGGAUAUUCAUACCACGGAUGGCAACACAUAUAUAAAGAAUUACUGACAGAAAAAAUAACUUUGCACAAUACUUUGAUUUGAAAGGAGGCUAGUAAGAAAACGUGGUAAAUAUAUACACAAACA
rnacentral:lncRNA from 1 species